rnacentral:rRNA from 1 species
GACAGAGGUGCCAAGCGUUAGGCGGAAUCACUGGGCUUAAAGCGUGUGUAGGCGGGUCGUUAAGUACCUUGUGAAAUCCCCCGGCUCAACCGGGGAACGGCUGGGUAUACUGGCGAUCUUGAGCCACCUAGGGGCAGUCGGAACAAGUGGUGGAGCGGUGAAAUGCGUAGAUAUCAAGAGGAACACCUGAGGUGAAGACGGGUUGCUGGGCCGACACUGACGCUGAGUGCGCGAAAGCCAGGGGAGCAAACGGG